AAGGAGUCCGAAAGCAGCAACAAUCUCUUCCUCUUCUUCCUUCUUCUUCUUUCUCAAUUGUUCCUUUCAUUGUGUGCAAAGAUUUCUUGGAGGCCUUCCGUUGUUUGGCAGAUUCGUUUUGUUUCCUGGAUUCAGAAGCUCGAUCGGCGGAUUGCUUUCUUUGGUGGGAUUGUAGUUCCGGCAUCAGAUACUGCCGGGGGGAUUCUGUUUCCUUGGCUUCUUUGUUUGGUUGGGAAGGCGUUCGCGGGGAUUGGGAAUGGGCGACUGGAGGGGAUCGAGGGAGUUUCCAGGGAGGAAGCCGUCAUCCUCCAAACAGAGAUGUAGAAAACCGCCCAUAGGUUCUUGGAAGCCAACUGUUCCUGCCUGGGAGAAGGAAUUCUGUGCAACUGUCUGCUUGAUCCCAUGGUGGAAAGUUUGCGAAGCUAAGAAAAUUAUGCCUUUAUAUGAAAAUGUAGUUCAAUGGAAUGAUUCUGCUGGAGAGGAAGCAUUCUCUAAUGCUAAGAAACGCUUCUGGGCGAAAAUUAAUGGCCUCCCAUGUGAUGUUUCUCUUCCCGAUCCAGACAUCUAUAUUGACGAAAUUGACUGGGAUUCGAUUGAUGAUGUUGAUCCCGAGCUGUUAUUAGCCUUGGAGCAACAAGAACCUAUUGUUGCAGAAAAAAGUAAAGGUGAUUCACUGAACAGCGAGCAACCGGGAUCGACGGGCAACAACUGGGAGAAUUUUGUCGUUUUUUCAUGCCAUCAAGGUAAUAACCUCUUCCCCUGUUCAGGAUGGGGUGAUGGUGAUGAUUGGGCUCGUGGUGUGAACAACUGUACUGCAGAGUCAAAUCGAUGGAAAGAUGACUUUAAAAAUAAUGGACAAGCCACACAAGUUCGUAACUCAUGGGAUAGUGUGGAUUUUGCACCUGGGAAUAAGGAUAAUGUUCCGAUUCCAAGUUCAGGGUGGGACGAUGCAAGCCCUCACAAUUGGCCUGAAUGUAGUUGGGGAAAUGAUUAUGUCAGUUCAUGGAAAUGCCACGAUUGGAAUCAUGGACUCACCCAGUUUAGCAGCUAUGACCCUGCAGAACAAGGUAAGAGAAAUUGGGCCGUUACUAAUGGUAGCGGUCGAAAAAGAGAAGGAGGUGGGCGGUAUGGAUCUAGGUAUAAACGUUAUCAAUCUAGCCCUGGCGAGAUCUUUCCAGCGACCACCGAAGAUUGGUGGAAUUGCGGUGGGCGUAAGAGAACUGAUCAUUUCACUCAUGAAAGAGCUCUGGUGGGGAAGUGAUCCUUUUGUCGGUCUUGCAUGUGAUAUGAGGAGUUGCUUGGUUAGUGUCCUCAACCAUAUGGAGAAACACAUGACGGAAACCAUCUGCUGGAUGCUGAUCAAAAGCUGAUUGGUUUUGUAAGAGCAGAUGGGCCUUUCUUGUACAUAAAUAGAGGGACUCAGUCCGGGAUUUGGUAGCAGAUAUGUUGUUCAUUUUGGGACGAGAUUUUAGCAGAUGUGGUAUAUACCCUGAAAAUUGUGUAGGCCUUGGCAUGCACUAGAGAGACUAGGCAAAGGUAUGCAGGUGACUCGUGCAUUAUCCUCUCUCUCUCUCUCUCUCUCUCUCUCUCUCUCUCAAUUGCAUCGGUGCGCCAUGUGCUGUGCUGUGUCAAACACGGGAAUCUAAAAGCCUGCGGAUAUUGGUUGUCUAAGAAAGUCAUGCCAGUUUCACAAGAAUCUCACAAAAUUUUCUGUAAAAAUCUCGUAUCAGACCUUAAAGUCCAGAAAUAAAAUGCUUGUUGAAGUA